rnacentral:rRNA from 1 species
CCCAACUAUCCCUAUUAAUCAUUACGUCAAUCCUAGAAACCAACAAAAUAGGAUCGAACGUCCUAUUUCAUUAUUCCAUGCUAAUGUAUUCAAGCGUUAGCCUGCUUUAAACACUCUAAUUUUUUCAAAGUAACAGUCCAGUUUCCCCGCAACACCAAAUUAAUGGCAUUACGGUUCAUCAGGAAGGAGGAAUCAGUGAGAUCAGUACAUACCUGGGGCACGACCAACCUACUAACCCCGAAAUUCAACUA